GUCCUAGUAGCUUAAACGCUAAAGCACUG
rnacentral:tRNA from 1 species